GAGACACGCUGGCGGCGUGGAUUAGGCAUGCAAGUCGAACGGUAGGAUCCUUUCGGGGAUCUGAGAGUGGCGAACGGGUGAGUAACACGUAGGUGAUCUACCCUCAAGACGGGGACAACCCAGGGAAACUUGGGCUAAUACCGGAUGUGAGCUAUCGCGAGAUAGUUUGAAAGGUGGCUUCGGCUGCCGCUUGGGGAUGAGCCUGCGUCCUAUUAGCUAGUUGGUGAGGUAACGGCUCACCGAGGCAGUGAUAGGUAGGCGGCCUUAACGGGUGGUCGCCCACACUGGGAUUGAGAUACGGCCCAGACUCCUACGGGAGGCAGCAGUCGAGAAUAGUCUACAAUGGUCGAAAGACUGAUAGUGCGACGCCGCGUGAACGAAGAAGCCCUUCGGGGUGUAAAGUUCUUUUAUAUGUGAGCAGUGACACCCAUAUUAAUAGUAUGGGUGUAGAGAUAUUAGCAUAUGAAUAAGCAACGGCUAACUCCGUG
rnacentral:rRNA from 1 species